rnacentral:rRNA from 1 species
GAGAUCUCAGGUCAGGCGGGGCUAUCCGCUGAGUUUAAGCAUAUCAAAAACGGCGGAGAAAAAA